GAGCACCCCUCCCGUCCGCUCUUUACAGGGCUGGCGGUGUCUCGGGGCUCGGCUAGCCAUGCUUGGAGCGCGGGGUUUGACUGGGCCGCCGUUGUUGUAGUGACCGGGAGGCGCUGCCGCUCUGGGCAGACGGUUCCGGGAGCCGCACGGUCCCCUCUCCUGCCCCAUCCCCUCCCCUCCCCUCCCCGGGUUCCCCCACCCGCAGGAGCCUGGGGCGGACCACUCCCCCCCGAUGGCCUCAGCCACGGAGGACCCCGUUCUGGAGCGUUAUUUCAAAGGCCACAAAGCUGCGAUCACCUCCUUGGACUUCAGCCCCAACGGCAAGCAACUCGCUACUGCUUCUUGGGACACCUUUCUCAUGCUAUGGAAUUUCAAGCCACAUGCUAGAGCUUACAGAUAUGUGGGUCACAAGGAUGUUGUAACCAGCGUGCAGUUUUCUCCACAUGGAAACUUAUUGGCAUCUGCCUCACGAGACAGAACCGUGAGACUCUGGAUUCCUGAUAAGAGAGGAAAAUUCUCAGAAUUUAAAGCUCAUACAGCUCCAGUUCGAAGUGUAGACUUUUCAGCUGAUGGCCAGUUUCUAGCUACAGCUUCUGAAGACAAAUCCAUAAAAGUAUGGAGCAUGUAUCGCCAGCGCUUCCUGUAUUCUUUGUAUCGACAUACACACUGGGUACGCUGUGCCAAAUUUUCACCUGAUGGAAGACUAAUUGUGUCAUGUAGUGAGGAUAAAACUAUUAAAAUUUGGGAUACCACAAAUAAGCAAUGUGUUAAUAACUUCUCAGAUUCCGUUGGAUUUGCAAAUUUUGUGGACUUUAACCCUAGUGGUACAUGCAUAGCUUCAGCAGGUUCUGAUCAAACUGUGAAAGUCUGGGAUGUAAGAGUGAACAAAUUACUACAGCAUUACCAAGUUCACAGCGGUGGAGUUAAUUGCAUAUCAUUCCAUCCUUCGGGUAACUACCUCAUCACAGCUUCUUCAGAUGGUACCCUUAAGAUUCUGGACCUCUUAGAAGGAAGGCUCAUCUAUACACUUCAAGGACAUACGGGACCUGUCUUUACUGUUUCAUUUUCAAAAGGUGGAGAGCUAUUUGCAUCAGGAGGUGCAGACACACAGGUCUUAUUAUGGAGGACUAACUUCGAUGAAUUGCCUUAUAAAGGUCUUAACAAAAGAAAUCUCAAAAGAUUACAUUUUGAUUCACCACCACAUCUUCUUGAUAUCUACCCAAGAACACCACACCCCCAUGAGGAAAAAGUUGAGACUGUAGAAGAUUUUUUUCUUCAUCUUUUGAGAUUAAUCCAAAGCUUGAGGUAAUCGAUUUGCAGAUCUCUACUCCCCCUGUUGUGGAUAUACUUUCUUUUGAUUCUACCACAACAACAGAAACCAGUGGUAGAACUCUGCCAGACAAGGGUGAAGAGGCCUGUGGAUAUUUCUUGAACCCUUCCUUGUUGUCACCAGAAUGUUCACCAACAACCACGAAAAAGAAAACAGAAGACAUGAGUGACCUCCCCUGCGAAAGUCAAAGGAGCAUACCUCUCGCUGUGACUGAUGCUUUAGAGCAUAUUAUGGAACAACUCAAUGUUUUGACACAGACUGUUUCAAUCUUGGAGCAGCGACUGACUUUGACAGAGGAUAAGCUGAAAGACUGCCUUGAAAAUCAGCAAAAGCUUUUCAGUGCUGUCCAACAGAAAAGCUGAAUAAAAAAUUCAUUUUCAUUUGUUGGGCAGAGGCACAAUAAAUGAAUAAAUGUACAUACACUCAGGAAGGUAGUACAAGAUACUCCACGCAACAUGACCAUGUGCUAUUUAUCAUGGCAUUUCUUAAAAGGGUGAGCAACAGAACAAAAGGCAGAAAAGGCAUAUCUAAGGACUAAUGUAAACACACAAAUCAAUGUGAAGGACUAAUUUAAAUUACUAUCAUUUAUGAUUGCAGUAAUAAAGUGAUAAGCAUUCAAGCGACUCUGUAUUUUCCCCAUAUUAUUUUAAAUGUCCAUUUUCAUUUCUAGGCCAAAUCCUGCCAGGAAAGUAACCAAAUCUCUGGAUAUCACUGUUAAGUCAUUUCAGAUUGACCAUAUUCAGACAGUCAUGGGGUGAAAUAAUUCACUUACCUCCAAAAUAGCAUCCUACAUGCAAAUAAUGAAUUAUUGAUCUGACUUGUUAUGUUUCUUUCUGUUCAAAAUAAAAAUUAUCCUUUCUUACUAAUGCCUUGAAAGGAUGAACGAAUAAAACUUCCCAGACCACAGAAUUUCCACAGCAAGAAUACACUUAUUUUAAUUAACACUAGCACAGAUAUGGCAUGGGGCAGUGGGUUUUUUAUUUAAUUUAUGGUGUACUUUGUUUAUCCACUGGCCAACCUGAAGGAAAUGAAACUCACCUGUCUAUCACAGAUGAAUGUGCUGAAUUAUUUGGGUUGUAUCUGAUCAUGGUUCACAAAAAUUAUGUUAGUGUGUUUUCAGUAUGCUGAAAAGUCAGAGUGAUGCAACAGCGAUAUUUAAAAAUAUACACACACGUAUGUACACAUGCUUCAGAAAUAUUGUUGCUUAGGAUGAUUUGAGCAGCUAAAUAGUAAGUACUUUUUAAAAUUUUUGCAUCAUCGUCUUCCUAUUUAAUGAAUUGUGAUUUAAAACAAAAUGAAAAUGAGCCAGGUAGUCUAAAAGAUCCUGGUGACAAAUUAAGAAUUUUGUUUUAUUUUUAACCAAAUUGAGAUUAAAUUGAAGAAAAGCAAGCAAAUUAAUUUCAGCUUCAUUAUCAACCUAUAUCAAGAACAAAAAUGGGAGAAGGUGUCCACAUUUAUGGUGCGUAUAGGUAACAUGGGGGAAAAUGCUAUUCUGUGUUUUGGAAAAGAAGAAAUAGUGCCGUCCUAUUUAUUUCUAUAUUUAGAAAUUUUUCUCAAAGAAAUUUCAAUUGUAUCUAUGAGGUGGGUUUCUAAGUAUCUUAUUGUGUGUUAUAAGUGCCUUUUUAUAUCAUACUAAGUGUGAGCUUCUGGACAUUUUCAAGAGCUUACAAAAGCUAUGUGGCAUUGUACUUUUAUAACCUCAUUGAGAAGACUAAGAAAUGAAAUUUCCUAUCAAUUUUGUUCACUUUGUCAUGCUUGAAACAAUAAAGACAUUUUUGCUUUAAAAGAAAAA